rnacentral:rRNA from 1 species
GGGGAAUAUUGGACAAUGGGCGAAAGCCUGAUCCAGCCAUGCCGCGUGUGUGAAGAAGGCCUUUUGGUUGUAAAGCACUUUAAGUGGGGAGGAAAAGCUUAUGGUUAAUACCCAUAAGCCCUGACGUUACCCACAGAAUAAGCACCGGCUAACUCUAUGCCAGCAGCCGCGGUAAUACAGAGGGUGCAAGCGUUAAUCGGAAUUACUGGGCGUAAAGCGCGCGUAGGUGGUUAUUUAAGUCAGAUGUGAAAGCCCCGGGCUUAACCUGGGAACUGCAUCUGAUACUGGAUAACUAGAGUAGGUGAGAGGGGAGUAGAAUUCCAGGUGUAGCGGUGAAAUGCGUAGAGAUCUGGAGGAAUACCGAUGGCGAAGGCAGCUCCCUGGCAUCAUACUGACACUGAGGUGCGAAAGCGUGGGUAGCAAACAGGAUUAGAUACCCUGGUAGUCCACGCCGUAAACGAUGUCUACCAGUCGUUGGGUCUUUUAAAGACUUAGUGACGCAGUUAACGCAAUAAGUAGACCGCCUGGGGAGUACGGCCGCAAGGUUA